AAACAAACAAAAAUGUUCUCAUCUAUCGGGAAAAUCCAGCUCAAGCUAAUGGCCAGAUUUUCAACGUGGGAAAUCCCAGCAAUGAAGCCACUGUAGAGCAACUUGCUGAGACCAUGACACAGGAAGGUGUACUCAAAGGUAUCAGGGGAGCCUCCAUUAGAGGCACCUACGAUUGAUGUGAGUUCGAAGGAAUUCUACGGUGAAGGAUAUGAUGACAGUGAUAAACGGAUUCCUGACAUGGCCAUAAUCAAUAAGCGACUUGGUUGGAACCCAAAGAUGUCUCUGUGGGACUUGCUGGAUUCGACGCUAACGUAUCAGCUCAGGACAUAUGCAGAAGCCAUUAGGAGAGCAAUGGCAAAACCGGUUGCAUCCAGCUAGAUGAUUAGAUUUCAUCAGAUCUAGGUCGGUCUCCACAAAAAAAAAAAAAAAAAAAAAAAAGAGUACUACACCUUUAUCUUAGUGAGCAGCAUUUUAUUCUCUUUUCGAUCAGCAUUUUAUUCUCUUUUCGAUCAGCAGUUGAGGUUGAGCUUUCAUGACCUUAUCAGUAAAUUUUGGUAGUGUUAGUAUGUGCUAUGAUAUCAGUGUGUAAUAUUCUUCUAUUCCUUUUCUCGUUUCUCGUGACUCUUUGCUUCCAUCGGACGAGCAUGAACUGUUGUUGGUUGUGGCUUGAUGCUAAGACUGCAGCCACAGUGAAAGCGUAUUAUAUUCACCUCGCUGUUGCAAGACAUGUCUGUUCGGCUGUUCCAAGCUUGCAUCAAAUUUGUUUAACCACAAAGGUUAUAUAAAGCUGCAGCAUCUUUGCCCAUA